AUUGAACGCUGGCGGCAGGCCUAACACAUGCAAGUCGAACGAGUGGCGGACGGGCGAGUAAUGCUUGGGAAUCUCGCUUAUGGAGGGGGAUAACUAGGGGAAACUGUAGCUAAUACCGCGUACUAUAGGAUGCGCCCAUGUGGGAUUAGCUAGUAGGUGGGGUAAAGGCUCACCUAGGCGACGAUCUCUAGCUGGUCUGAGAGGAUGAUCAGCCACACUGGGACGGAGACACGGCCCAGACUCCUACGGGAGGCAGCAGUGGGGAAUAUUGCACAAUGGGCGCAAGCCUGAUGCAGCCAUGCCGCGUGUAUGAAGAAGGCCUUAGGGUUGUAAAGUACUUUCAGCGGGGAGGCGUUACCCGCAGAAGAAGCACCGGCUAACUCCGUGCCAGCAGCCGCGGUAAUAC
rnacentral:rRNA from 1 species